rnacentral:rRNA from 1 species
UAUGGUCAAGUGAAGAAGCGCAUACGGUGGAUGCCUUGGCAGUCAGAGGCGAUGAAAGACGUGGUAGCCUGCGAAAAGCUUCGGGGAGUCGGCAAACAGACUGUGAUCCGGAGAUGUCUGAAUGGGGGAACCCAGCCAUCAUAAGAUGGUUAUCUUGUACUGAAUACAUAGGUGCAAGAGGCGAACCAGGGGAACUGAAACAUCUAAGUACCCUGAGGAAAAGAAAUCAACCGAGAUUCCCUUAGUAGUGGCGAGCGAACGGGGACCAGCCCUUAAGUUGUAUUGAGAUUAGCGGAACACUCUGGAAAGGGUGGCCAUAGUGGGUGAUAGCCCUGUACGCGAAAAUCCCUUUGCAAUGAAAUCGAGUAGGACGGGGCACGAGAAACCUUGUCUGAAUAUGGGGGGACCAUCCUCCAAGGCUAAAUACUACUGACUGACCGAUAGUGAACCAGUACCGUGAGGGAAAGGCGAAAAGAACCGCGGAGAGCGGAGUGAAAUAGAUCCUGAAACCGUAUGCGUACAAGCAGUGGGAGCCCACUUUGUUGGGUGACUGCGUACCUUUUGUAUAAUGGGUCAGCGACUUAUUUUCAGUGGCGAGCUUAACCGAAUAGGGGAGGCGUAGCGAAAGCGAGUCUUAAUAGGGCGUCUAGUCGCUGGGAAUAGACCCGAAACCGGGCGAUCUAUCCAUGGGCAGGUUGAAGGUUGGGUAACACUAACUGGAGGACCGAACCGACUACCGUUGAAAAGUUAGCGGAUGACCUGUGGAUCGGAGUGAAAGGCUAAUCAAGCUCGGAGAUAGCUGGUUCUCCUCGAAAGCUAUUUAGGUAGCGCCUCAUGUAUCACUGUAGGGGGUAGAGCACUGUUUCGGCUAGGGGGUCAUCCCGACUUACCAAACCGAUGCAAACUCCGAAUACCUACAAGUGCCGAGCAUGGGAGACACACGGCGGGUGCUAACGUCCGUCGUGAAAAGGGAAACAACCCAGACCGUCAGCUAAGGUCCCAAAGUCAUGGUUAAGUGGGAAACGAUGUGGGAAGGCUUAGACAGCUAGGAGGUUGGCUUAGAAGCAGCCACCCUUUAAAGAAAGCGUAAUAGCUCACUAGUCGAGUCGGCCUGCGCGGAAGAUGUAACGGGGCUCAAACCAUGCACCGAAGCUACGGGUAUCAUCUUAGGAUGAUGCGGUAGAGGAGCGUUCUGUAAGCCUGUGAAGGUGAGUUGAGAAGCUUGCUGGAGGUAUCAGAAGUGCGAAUGCUGACAUGAGUAACGACAAUGGGUGUGAAAAACACCCACGCCGAAAGACCAAGGUUUCCUGCGCAACGUUAAUCGACGCAGGGUUAGUCGGUCCCUAAGGCGAGGCUGAAAAGCGUAGUCGAUGGAAAACAGGUUAAUAUUCCUGUACUUCUGGUUAUUGCGAUGGAGGGACGGAGAAGGCUAGGCCAGCCUGGCGUUGGUUGUCCAGGUUUAAGGUGGUAGGCUGAGAUCUUAGGUAAAUCCGGGAUCUUAAGGCCGAGAGCUGAUGACGAGUGUUCUUUUAGAACACGAAGUGGUUGAUGCCAUGCUUCCAAGAAAAGCUUCUAAGCUUCAGGUAACCAGGAACCGUACCCCAAACCGACACAGGUGGUUGGGUAGAGAAUACCAAGGCGCUUGAGAGAACUCGGGUGAAGGAACUAGGCAAAAUGGCACCGUAACUUCGGGAGAAGGUGCGCCGGUGGAGGUGAAGCAUUUACUGCGUAAGCCCCUGCCGGUCGAAGAUACCAGGCCGCUGCGACUGUUUAUUAAAAACACAGCACUCUGCAAACACGAAAGUGGACGUAUAGGGUGUGACGCCUGCCCGGUGCCGGAAGGUUAAUUGAUGGGGUUAGCGCAAGCGAAGCUCUUGAUCGAAGCCCCGGUAAACGGCGGCCGUAACUAUAACGGUCCUAAGGUAGCGAAAUUCCUUGUCGGGUAAGUUCCGACCUGCACGAAUGGCGUAACGAUGGCGGCGCUGUCUCCACCCGAGACUCAGUGAAAUUGAAAUCGCUGUGAAGAUGCAGUGUAUCCGCGGCUAGACGGAAAGACCCCGUGAACCUUUACUAUAGCUUUGCACUGGACUUUGAAUUUGCUUGUGUAGGAUAGGUGGGAGGCUUUGAAGCGUGGACGCCAGUCUGCGUGGAGCCAACCUUGAAAUACCACCCUGGCAACUUUGAGGUUCUAACUCAGGUCCGUUAUCCGGAUCGAGGACAGUGUAUGGUGGGUAGUUUGACUGGGGCGGUCUCCUCCUAAAGAGUAACGGAGGAGUACGAAGGUGCGCUCAGACCGGUCGGAAAUCGGUCGUAGAGUAUAAAGGCAAAAGCGCGCUUGACUGCGAGACAGACACGUCGAGCAGGUACGAAAGUAGGUCUUAGUGAUCCGGUGGUUCUGUAUGGAAGGGCCAUCGCUCAACGGAUAAAAGGUACUCCGGGGAUAACAGGCUGAUACCGCCCAAGAGUUCAUAUCGACGGCGGUGUUUGGCACCUCGAUGUCGGCUCAUCACAUCCUGGGGCUGAAGCCGGUCCCAAGGGUAUGGCUGUUCGCCAUUUAAAGUGGUACGCGAGCUGGGUUUAGAACGUCGUGAGACAGUUCGGUCCCUAUCUGCCGUGGACGUUUGAGAUUUGAGAGGGGCUGCUCCUAGUACGAGAGGACCGGAGUGGACGAACCUCUGGUGUUCCGGUUGUCACGCCAGUGGCAUUGCCGGGUAGCUAUGUUCGGAAAAGAUAACCGCUGAAAGCAUCUAAGCGGGAAACUUGCCUCAAGAUGAGAUCUCACUGGAACCUUGAGUUCCCUGAAGGGCCGUCGAAGACUACGACGUUGAUAGGUUGGGUGUGUAAGCGCUGUGAGGCGUUGAGCUAACCAAUACUAAUUGCCCGUGAGGCUUGACCAUA